rnacentral:rRNA from 1 species
UGGAGGCAGCAGUGGGGAAUUUUGGACAAUGGGCGAAAGCCUGAUCCAGCCAUUCCGCGUGAGUGAAGAAGGCCUUCGGGUUGUAAAGCUCUUUCGCAAGGAAAGAAAACUUAUCUCCUAAUACGAGGUGAGGAUGACGGUACCUUGAUAAGAAGCACCGGCUAACUACGUGCCAGCAGCCGCGGUAAUACGUAGGGUGCGAGCGUUAAUCGGAAUUACUGGGCGUAAAGCGUGCGCAGGCGGUUUUGUAAGUCAGAUGUGAAAUCCCCGGGCUCAACCUGGGAACUGCGUUUGAAACUACAAGGCUAGAGUGUAGAAGAGGGGGGUAGAAUUCCACGUGUAGCAGUGAAAUGCGUAGAGAUGUGGAGGAAUACCGAUGGCGAAGGCAGCCCCCUGGGCUAACACUGACGCUCAUGCACGAAAGCGUGGGGAGCAAACAGGAUUAGAUACCCCGGUAGUCCG